rnacentral:rRNA from 1 species
GACGAACGCUGGCGGCGUGCUUAACACAUGCAAGUCGAGCGGAGCGGCGAACGGGUGAGUAACGCGUGAGUAACUGCCCCCCUCUCUGGGAUAACAGUUGGAAACGGCUGCUAAUCCCGGAUAGUGGGGGAUGACUCGCGUCCUAUCAGCUUGUGGGUGGGGUAGUGGCCUACCAAGGCGCCGACGGGUAGCCGGCCUGAGCGGGCGAACGGCCACAUUGGGCGGAGAUACGGCCAGAAGGCCUACGGGAGGCAGCAGUGGGGAAUGUUGCACAAUGGGGGAAACCCUGAUGCAGCAACGCGCGUGCGGGAUGACGGCCUUCGGGUUGGAAAGUAGUUUCAGCGAGGAGGGUUAAUAACCGGAGCGAUUGACGUUACUCGCAGAAGAAGCACCGGCUAACUACGUGCCAGCAGCCGCGGUAAUAC